rnacentral:rRNA from 1 species
UACGUAGGGGGCAAGCGUUGUUCGGAUUUACUGGGCGUAAAGGGCGCGUAGGCGGCAUAUUAAGUCAUCUGUGAAAUCUCCGAGCUUAACUCGGAACUGUCAGCUGAUACUGAUGUGCUAGAGUGCGGAAGGGGCAAUCGGAAUUCUUGGUGUAGCGGUGAAAUGCGUAGAUAUCAAGAGGAACACCUGAGGUGAAGACGGGUUGCUGGGCCGACACUGACGCUGAGUGCGCGAAAGCCAGGGGAGCAAACGGG